rnacentral:tRNA from 1 species
GGAGAGGUGCUAGAGUGGCCGAAUAGGCGCGAUUGGAAAUCGCGUGUUCCCUCACAAGGGGAACCGUGGGUUCGAAUCCCACCCUCUCCGCCA